rnacentral:rRNA from 1 species
CUGGGCUCGAAAUGUAGAGGACGACAACAGAGAUGUUGUUUCCCGAAAGGGUCUCUAUAUAGGUGCUGCAUGGCUGUCGUCAGCUCGUGCCGUGAGGUGUUUGGUUAAGUCCAGCAACGAGCGCAACCCUUAUCAUUAGUUGCCAACGCGUGAAGGCGGGAACUCUAAUGAGACUGCCUAGGUUAACUAGGAGGAAGGUGAGGAUGACGUCAAGUCCGCAUGGCCUUUAUGUCUGGGGCUACACACGUGCUACAAUGGUCGGUACAGAAGGCAGCGAAGUCGUAAGAUGGAGCAAAUCCGAGAAGCCGGCCUCAGUUCAGAUUGUAGUCUGCAACUCGGCUACAUGAAGUUGGAAUUGCUAGUAAUGACGUGUCAGCAACAACGUCGUGAAUACGUUCCC